UGGGGAAUAUUGCACAAUGGGCGAAAGCCUGAUGCAGCUAUGCCGCGUGUAUGAAGAAGGCCUUAGGGUUGUAAAGUACUUUCAGCGGGGAAGAAAAAGAAAAAGAUAAUAUCUUUUUAAUUGACGUUACCCGAAAAAGAAGCACCGGCUAACUCCGUGCCAGCAGCCGCGGUAAUACGGAGGGUGCUAGCGUUAAUCAGAAUUACUGGGCGUAAAGAGUGCGUAGGUGGUUAAUUAAGUCAGAUGUGAAAUCCCUAAGCUUAACUUAGGAACUGCAUUUGAAACUGUUUGACUAGAGUAUCGUAGAGGGAGGUAGAAUUCUAGGUGUAGCGGUGAAAUGCGUAGAUAUCUGGAGGAAUACCGGUGGCGAAAGCGACCUCCUGGACGAAUACUGACACUGAGUCACGAAAGCGUGGGGAGCAAACAGG
rnacentral:rRNA from 1 species